rnacentral:rRNA from 1 species
AACGAACGCUGGCGGCGUGCUUAACACAUGCAAGUCUAACGGGAAUGUCGGCUUCGGCUGACUAGUACCGUGGCGAACGGGUGAGUAACACGUGGGUAAUCUGCCCUCGAGCUCGGGAUAACCUUGCGAAAGCGAGGCUAAUACCGGAUAAGACCACGCCCUGCACGCAGGGCGCGGUCAAAGGUGGCCUCUUCUUGAAAGCUAUCACUUGAGGAUGAGCCCGCGGCCUAUUAGCUAGUUGGUAGGGUAACGGCCUACCAAGGCGACGAUGGGUGGCCGGGCUGAGAGGGUGUACGGCCACACUGGCAGUGAGACACGGGCCAGACUCCUACGGGAGGCAGCAGUGGGGAAUUUUGCGCAAUGGGGGAAACCCUGACGCAGCAACGCCGCGUGAGUGAUGAAGGCCUUCGGGUUGUAAAGCUCUUUUAGUGGGGAAGAAGCCCUCCCUGGCUAAUAUCCAGGGGGUCUGACGGUACCCACAGAAAAAGUUCCGGCUAACUACGUGCCAGCCGCCGCGGUAAAAC